UGGGGAAUUUUGGACAAUGGGCGAAAGCCUGAUCCAGCAAUGCCGCGUGUGUGAAGAAGGCCUUCGGGUUGUAAAGCACUUUUGUCCGGAAAGAAAUCCUUGGCUCUAAUACAGUCGGGGGAUGACGGUACCGGAAGAAUAAGCACCGGCUAACUACGUGCCAGCAGCCGCGGUAAUACGUAGGGUGCAAGCGUUAAUCGGAAUUACUGGGCGUAAGCGUGCGCAGGCGGUUUGCUAAGACCGAUGUGAAAUCCCCGGGCUCAACCUGGGAACUGCAUUGGUGACUGGCAGGCUAGAGUAUGGCAGAGGGGGGUAGAAUUCCACGUGUAGCAGUGAAAUGCGUAGAGAUGUGGAGGAAUACCGAUGGCGAAGGCAGCCCCCUGGGCCAAUACUGACGCUCAUGCACGAAAGCGUGGGGAGCAAACAGGAUUAGAUACCCUGGUAGUCCACGCCCUAAACGAUGUCAACUAGUUGUUGGGGAUUCAUUUCCUUAGUAACGUAGCUAACGCGUGAAGUUGACCGCCUGGGGAGUACGGUCGCAAGAUUAAACUC
rnacentral:rRNA from 1 species